CAUGUCAAAAAUAUAUUCAGUGCCCACUGUGUAACAAUACAGAGAAGAUUAGCAUGGCUCCAAUGAAAGAAUGGCAUGCAAGUCUAUGUAACAUCCAUACAUUUU
ensembl:snRNA U6 U6 spliceosomal RNA